rnacentral:rRNA from 1 species
CCCUGCGCGCCCCCGGUAGUCUGUACGAGGAGUAGCUGACCACGGGCAAACGCGAACGCGCCCGUUUUCUGGGUACGUGGAACUCCGAUACCGACAAGGACGGCAAGUACGACGAGCUUACACGGUAGGAGAGGCGAACGUAGCAGACCAUCUUCAUCCUCCUCGACCGGUACAGGAACUCCAAGUCGUCACCGAACUCUCGAAGUUGGUGAACCGAGUAGUCGCCGGCCCGAAACCCCAGGGCCGAGUCUGUACGCGCACGGUUAACACGACGGAAGACCCGUGGAAACUGGCUCUUUAACGGGAGGUCGGCUCCCAGCUGAUCGAACAUCUUUGCGACAGAGAGAGGAUCCUCCCCCGCGCGGGUGAGGUGUUCCAACACGAGCGGCAAACCCGCCAAG